rfam:Myotis brandtii contig198122, whole genome shotgun sequence.
UGCAGUUCUCAGGUGAUGCAUCAUGGAUUCGGGCUCCCUCCUCUCUGGUUCCAGGUGUGUCACCUGAGAACUGCA